rnacentral:rRNA from 1 species
GACGAACGCUGGCGGCGUGCUUAACACAUGCAAGUCGAACGGAAAGGCCCUGCUUUUGUGGGGUGCUCGAGUGGCGAACGGGUGAGUAACACGUGAGUAACCUGCCCUUGACUUUGGGAUAACUUCAGGAAACUGGGGCUAAUACCGGAUAGGAGCUCCUGCUGCAUGGUGGGGGUUGGAAAGUUUCGGCGGUUGGGGAUGGACUCGCGGCUUAUCAGCUUGUUGGUGGGGUAGUGGCGUACCAAGGCUUUGACGGGUAGCCGGCCUGAGAGGGUGACCGGCCACAUUGGGACUGAGAUACGGCCCAGACUCCUACGGGAGGCAGCAGUGGGGAAUAUUGCACAAUGGGCGGAAGCCUGAUGCAGCAACGCCGCGUGCGGGAUGACGGCCUUUGGGUUGUAAACCGCUUUCGACGGUGACGAAGCGUGAGUGACGGUAAUGGGUAAAGAAGCACCGGCUAACUACGUG